GCAUACUUACAAAGUAGAUCCUUGGGCA
rnacentral:piRNA from 2 species